rnacentral:lncRNA from 1 species
UCCCAAAAGCGCCUCUUAGCCUCCUCGUCUAAGCCCGCUUGCGACGCGUAAGCGCUGAUGACGUUGAGGACGCAACCCCCAUAACCAACUUAAUAGACAUUACCCUAUCAUUCACUCGCCUAACCUCGACCACGGACUCCCUUAGAUCUCUAUCUACCAAGAUACCCACUCCAUUCUUACCUCUCACGACCCCGGAAUACCACAACUUAAACCCGUCAGCAUUCCUCGCCUUCGACCCUUCCAACCCUCUUCUUCUGAAGAACCUUCGCCAACUCAAUGGACUUACCCGUCAGAAUCCUAUGUUCCAUGACCCAAUCCUUAAUCUAUGAGCGUCCGCUACCCUCUUCCCACCCUUACCACCCAGUCUAUCUCCUACUCACCCCUGCCACCGCCCCCACCCCCGAGGACAUGAAGUUUUCCUGAAGCUUAUCGGAACGUGUAGUUCUAUUGCGUCCUGCCGAAAGUCUGAGCGGGAGUCGCCGGAAGUACUGUAGCUUGCCGGAAAUCAUCGCCGAAAAAAUAAGGCACCUGUCCAAGAAAACAGAACACACCCACACACACCCACAAAAAGUAGAAGAGAGAAUAGGAAGAAAAGGGCAGAAAGAGAAUUGAAAUAAAUAAAAAAAAGCAGAACAAAGAACUCAACAAAGGAGAUUUUCUCAAAUUGAAGAAAAGCGGCACUGGUGGCGGCUGGACACCUGUUCUAUAAGCAGAAAAGAACAGAGCCAAAAACUCGAUGCAACAAUAUCUCUUUUGAAGAAAAAUUCCAAAUUUGACAGUUUCCAAAACUUUAAUUUCACUGAUUUACCGGUGAGUUGCCGGAGAAGAUGAACUGCUUUGUUACCGUUGUGAAGAGAGCGUUAGCAGAGGAGGAGAGAGAAGAGAGCGUUUGAUAAGGAGGGACAGAGUGAGUCAAUCUAAGGGUUUCAAAAUAAGCAGAUCUAAAACAGAAUACCUGGAGUGCAAGUUUAGCGCCGAGCCGAGCGAAGUAGGCAGGGACAUGAUGAU